rnacentral:lncRNA from 1 species
UAGAAAAUAUAAUAGGUUAUCACUUAUUUCUACUUUCAAGAAUUUAACACAUUUAUUGUAAGAUGUGCAUUUCAUUCUAAUAUUGUCUAAAGUUAUAUUGAUAAGAAAUUUUCAAGAGCAGCAAUAUGUUUAACGUUAGAAAAAUAAGUAGACCCUUAUAUAUGGCUGUAUAUCCAAUUAAAGAAUAUUUGGGAAAUUUUGAUACACCUAAAAAUCCAAUCGCUGAGAACAUAGAAGAUACUCCCAUGGGAAGGAUAAGAAAAAUAUUUAUAUCUACCGAAUAUCAGCCUUUAAGCAAAGAACUUCAUAAUUUCAUUAAUUUCACAAGUACUGCAGCCUUGGUUGGCAUGAUCGUGGGUGGUGCGGCC